GAUGAACGCUGGCGGCGUGCUUAACACAUGCAAGUCGAGCGGAAAGGCCCAAGCUUGCUUGGGUACUCGAGUGGCGAACGGGUGAGUAACACGUGGGUGAUCUGCCCUGCACUUCGGGAUAAGCCUGGGAAACUGGGUCUAAUACCGGAUAGGACGAUGGUUUGGAUGCCAUUGUGGAAAGUUUUUUCGGUGUGGGAUGAGCUCGCGGCCUAUCAGCUUGUUGGUGGGGUAAUGGCCUACCAAGGCGUCGACGGGUAGCCGGCCUGAGAGGGUGUACGGCCACAUUGGGACUGAGAUACGGCCCAGACUCCUACGGGAGGCAGCAGUGGGGAAUAUUGCACAAUGGGCGCAAGCCUGAUGCAGCGACGCCGCGUGGGGGAUGACGGCCUUCGGGUUGUAAACUCCUUUCGCUAGGGACGAAGCGUUUUUGUGACGGUACCCGGAGAAGAAGCACCGGCUAACUACGUG
rnacentral:rRNA from 1 species